rnacentral:rRNA from 1 species
UUACGGGAGGCAGCAGUGGGGAAUUUUGGACAAUGGGCGCAAGCCUGAUCCAGCCAUUCCGCGUGAGUGAAGAAGGCCUUCGGGUUGUAAAGCUCUUUCGCAAGGGAAGAAAACUUAACCUCUAACAUAGGUUGAGGCUGACGGUACCUUGAUAAGAAGCACCGGCUAACUACGUGCCAGCAGCCGCGGUAAUACGUAGGGUGCGAGCGUUAAUCGGAAUUACUGGGCGUAAAGCGUGCGCAGGCGGCCUGAUAAGUCAGAUGUGAAAUCCCCGAGCUCAACUUGGGAACUGCGUUUGAAACUAUCAAGCUAGAAUAUGUCAGAGGGGGGUAGAAUUCCACGUGUAGCAGUGAAAUGCGUAGAGAUGUGGAGGAAUACCAAUGGCGAAGGCAGCCCCCUGGGAUAAUAUUGACGCUCAUGCACGAAAGCGUGGGGAGCAAACAGGAUUAGAUACCCCGGUAGG